CUACGGGAGGCUCCAGGCGCGAAACCUUUACAAUGCACGCAAGUGUGAUAAGGGGAUUCCAAGUGCUCAAGUAUUACUUGGGCUUUUGCCAUGUGUAAAUAGCAUGGAGAAUAAGUGGUGGGAAAGACUGGUGCCAGCCGCCGCGGUAACACCAGCGCCACGAGUGGCAUUCGCGUUUAUUUGGCCUAAAGCGUCCGUAGCAGGUUUUGUAAAUCUCUUGUGAAAUUGCUGGGCUUAACCUAGCAGAUGGCAGGAGACACUGCAUUACUCGAGACCGGGAAGGGUUAGAGGUAUUCCUGAGGGAGCGGUAAUAUGCUAUAAUCUCAGGAGGACCACCUGUGGCGAAGGCGUCUAACUAGAACGGAUCUGACUGUGAGGGACGAAAGCUAGGGGAGCAAACCGGAUUAGAUACCCUUGUAGUC
rnacentral:rRNA from 1 species